CUUGGUCAUUUAGAGGAAGUAAAAGUCGUAACAAGGUUUCCGUAGGGUGAACCUGCGGAAGGAUCAUUAAUGAAUUUCAAUGGAGUUGUAGCUGGCUCUAACAAGGGCAUGUGCACACUCUAUUCGUUAUAUUAUACACCUGUGCACCUUUUGUAGUUCGGUUGUUACGGGGAGAGUCGAAAGGCUUUCUCAGACCCCCGUUCUAUGUUUUUAUUAUAAACCUUUGAAUGUCUUUGAAUGUCUGCAUUAAUAAUGCAUUUUAUACAACUUUCAGCAACGGAUCUCUUGGCUCUCGCAUCGAUGAAGAACGCAGCGAAAUGCGAUAAGUAAUGUGAAUUGCAGAAUUCAGUGAAUCAUCGAAUCUUUGAACGCACCUUGCGCUCCUUGGUAUUCCGAGGAGCAUGCCUGUUUGAGUGUCAUGGAAUUAUCAAACCUUUCUUUAAAUUUAUUUUAAAGGUUGGCUUGGACUUGGAGGUUGCUGGCCGCGCCAUUUUGUAGUCAGUCAGCUCCUCUUGAAUGCAUUAGCUUGAGUCUUUAAUGAGUCGGCUUAUCGGUGUGAUAAACUUAUGCCGUUAGUCAACUUGUAAACAAAUCGAGCUUCUAAUCGUCUUUGGACAAACAUUAUAAUAUGACCUCUGACCUCAAAUCAGGUAGGAUUACCCGCUGAACUUAAGCAUAUCAAUAAGCGGAGGA
rnacentral:rRNA from 1 species